rnacentral:rRNA from 1 species
CCCUUAGAUGUUCUGGGCCGCACGCGCGCUACACUGACUGCUCCAACAAGUUACCUGGGCUGACAAGCAUCCGGGAAAUCUUGCAAAGGUAGUCGUGAUGGGGAUAGAUUCUUGUAAUUUUUGAUCUUCAACGAGGAAUUCCUAGUAAACGCAAGUCAUCAGCUUGCAUUGAUUACGUCCCUGCCCUUUGUACACACCGCCCGUCGCAUCUACCGAUUGAAUGGAGAGGCAAAAUCUUCGGACCGUGACGCUUGGGAGUCAAAUCUCGGGCUGUCGUGGGAAGUGGAUUAAACCUUUCUAUUUAGAGGAAGGUAAAGUCGUAACA